GAGUGUUUGAGAGGAGUAAAGGUGUUUUACAAGACAAGAUAUUACACUGGGGAUUUUUGCCAUCCAAACAACAGUAUUAUGAAGUUCUUAAGUCAGCAGACUGUGUUGUGUCAACUGCCAAACACGAGUUUUUUGGUGUUGCUAUGUUAGAGGCUGUUCAUCUUGGUUGUUUCCCCCUGUGUCCCAGCAAACUUGUAUAUCCAGAGAUAUUUCCAAAAGAAUGUCUAUACAAUACAGAACAGCAGCUUUAUAAGAGACUGCGAGAACUGUGCAGGAAGCCAUAUAUAAUGAGAUCAAAACCAUUCAUUGUAAGUUAAGAUCUUAUUGUAUCCAGAUUGCUGC